CCUGCGGGCAGCGGGGCGCGGGGGUUACAGCGGGGCCCGCCGGGACCGGGCCUCGCGGAGCUGCCGCCCGCCCACGGCUCGCGCGGGCCCCCGGCCGGGCACCAGCCCUAGGGGCGCUGCGCCCCGGCCCGGCCCGGCCCCCGGGGCAGGCGGAGGUGACCUUGGCAGGGACCGCCCGACCCCCGGCGCGGGGCUCACCCAGUGUACCCUGGGAGGGGACAGGCAAGGCACUCUGAGCCCCAGACACCUUGUUCUGGCAGAUUCAGGAAGGAUGCUGCUGCUGCUGAGAAGUGGGACAGGAUCAACACGGCUACUAAGUACACCCCUGACACAUGGAAGAUACCAAAUUUUAGCCAACUUUGGAUUUUAAACUGCACUGCAGAAUAACAAGGAAUUUUUUUUUUACUUCCCUGCCUGCUAUCUGACACCUCCAGGGAAGGAAUUCUACCUGAUCAACACAUCAAAGAGCUCAACACAGUUCACAAAGACACCCUCAUGGACCCAGAGGGACAGCCUUCCAUCUUCAGCUCCCUCUGUGCAAAAAUGAAAUUUAUUUCCUACCUAUGGGGACUUUUUACCAUCUUGUACCAUCUACACUUUUCCCAGAGCCUGACGAAGGGACUUUGAUCCCAAAAGCUUGCAGAAAAAGACAAUUUUCUUGCCAUUUUCCAGUUGGUCUAAUAAAAGGUAUCAUUUUGGAACCAAGAGUUCUAGUUUUUUGUAUGUCUUUUUGUCUCAGACCAACACGGCUACCAAGUACACCCCUGAAUAUGGCAAGUUGCAUUCCUAGAUGGUGAGGGAAAGAGAUAAGAAGUCCUCUCUCCCAGAAAUAUACUAUUCACAAGGACAUAGACCCCAGCUAAUUGGCAUCUUCCAAAUCCAUGGGAAAAUAGUUCAAUCCAGUUCCUAAAGUCUCAGUGAAACAAAGAAAUCUGAACAACACCCAUCAGAAUAUUUAUUUAAAUAAACCACAUACAAAUGUUGGGUGUAAACAGGGGAAAUCUGGAGAAGAUCUCAGCAAAUUCAAGACAACCUGCUGCCAGCCUGCAUGGCACCAUCCUCCUCCAUCCUGCAUCUCCCCCAAGUGGUAUAGGUGAGAAUCUGUAUUGUGCUGUUACAAGCAGCUACAUAGAGACAAGUGCUUAUUCUUAUGCUUUGGGAUAUAAUCAAUAAAAGGUUGGGUUACA